AUACGGAGGGUGCAAGCGUUAUUCGGAAUCACUGGGCGUAAAGGACGCGUAGGCGGGUUGGCAAGUCAGAUGUGAAAUCCUACAGCUUAACUGUAGAACUGCAUUUGAAACUGCUAACCUAGAGUAUGGGAGGGGGAGAUGGAAUUAGUGGUGUAGGGGUAAAAUCCGUAGAUAUCACUAGGAAUACCGAAAGCGAAGACGAUCUCCUGGAACAUAACUGACGCUAAGGCGUGAAAGCGUGGGGAGCAAACAGGAUUAGAAACCCUAGUAGUCC
rnacentral:rRNA from 1 species